rnacentral:rRNA from 1 species
AGAGUUUGAUCCUGGCUCAGAUUGAACGCUGGCGGAAUGCUUUACACAUGCAAGUCGAACGGCAGCACGGGGGCAACCCUGGUGGCGAGUGGCGAACGGGUGAGUAAUGUAUCGGAACGUACCCCGUCGUGGGGGAUAACUCUCCGAAAGGAGAGCUAAUACCGCAUACGACCUGAGGGUGAAAGCGGGGGACCUGCAAGGGCCUCGCGCGAUGGGAGCGGCCGAUAUCGGAUUAGCUAGUUGGUGAGGUAAAGGCUCACCAAGGCGACGAUCCGUAGCGGGUCUGAGAGGACGACCCGCCACACUGGAACUGAGACACGGUCCAGACUCCUACGGGAGGCAGCAGUGGGGAAUUUUGGACAAUGGGGGAAACCCUGAUCCAGCCAUUCCGCGUGAGUGAAGAAGGCCUUCGGGUUGUAAAGCUCUUUCAGCAGGAACGAAACGGUAGGCUUUAAUACAGUUUGCUAAUGACGGUCCUGCAGAAGAAGCACCGGCUAACUACGUGCCAGCAGCCGCGGUAAUACGUAGGGUGCGAGCGUUAAUCGGAAUUACUGGGCGUAAAGCGUGCGCAGGCGGCGACAUAAGACAGAUGUGAGAUCCCCGGGCUCAACCUGGGAACUGCGUUUGUGACUGUGUUGCUAGAGUGUAGCAGAGGGGGGUGGAACUCCACGUGUAGCAGUGAAAUGCGUAGAGAUGUGGAGGAACACCGAUGGCGAAGGCAGCCCCCUGGGUUAACACUGACGCUCAUGCACGAAAGCGUGGGGAGCAAACAGGAUUAGAUACCCUGGUAGUCCACGCCCUAAACGAUGCCAACUAGGUGUUGGGGGAGGAGACUUCCUUAGUACCGUAGCUAACGCGUGAAGUUGGCCGCCUGGGGAGUACGGUCGCAAGAUUAAAACUCAAAGGAAUUGACGGGGACCCGCACAAGCGGUGGAUGAUGUGGAUUAAUUCGAUGCAACGCGAAAAACCUUACCUACCCUUGACAUGUCCGGAAUCCUGAAGAGAUUUGGGAGUGCUCGAAAGAGAACCGGAACACAGGUGCUGCAUGGCUGUCGUCAGCUCGUGUCGUGAGAUGUUGGGUUAAGUCCCGCAACGAGCGCAACCCUUAUCAUUAGUUGCCAUCAUUUAGUUGGGCACUCUAAUGAGACUGCCGGUGACAAACCGGAGGAAGGUGGGGAUGACGUCAAGUCCUCAUGGCCCUUAUGGGUAGGGCUUCACACGUCAUGCAAUGGUCGGUACAGAGGGUUGCCAACCCGCGAGGGGGAGCUAAUCUCACAAAGCCGAUCGUAGUCCGGAUCGCAGUCUGCAGCUCGACUGCGUGAAGUCGGAAUCGCUAGUAAUCGUGGAUCAGCAUGUCACGGUGAAUACGUUCCCGGGUCUUGUACACACCGCCCGUCACUCCAUGGGAGUGGGUUCCACCAGAAGUAGGUAGUCUAACCGCAAGGAGGGCGCUUACCACGGUGGGGUUCAUGACUGGGGUGAAGUCGUAACAAGGUA